AUUAAGUAUAUUUGGGGUUACCAAAGAGUAUGGUAAGAACCUCAUCUUAAAUUAUACUUGAGUUCUUACAAAGAUGCAUAGAGUUCUUACGAAGAUGUAUAGGUAUGCAGUAUUUAUUAUUUUUGUCUCUGUGUAUUUUUGUCAAUGAGAUAAAACCAUAGAACAAAUCAAUCAGAAGUAUUAACUGGUGUAAUUUGAGAACACCCUGGAACACGAGAAAUAUCCUACCUCACAAAAUUUAACAUGAGACAUCUUGUUUUCACCUUUUUUCAAGGAAGCAGCACACACAGUGUAAUCAUGAAGGUAUCCAUGUCCUGGAACAUCUGGGAAUAGCAUAUCUCUAAUAGUAUUUUUACUACUAUCCUCAAAAUUCAAACAAAACAGUCAGAUAUUUUGAUCAACAAGAGGUACA